UAUUUACACUCCGCCUCUUCUCCAAACUCACUUACAGAUCCCCUCCUGGACUUGGAGCAAUUAUUCCCCUCAAUUCAAGUGUCUGAGAGGAGGCUGGAUGGAAGGCAGGACUCCAUUCCUGGCUAUAGCUGCUGGAUUCUCCAACUACUGGCCACACCCUCAAAAGAAUCUUAAUAACUCAAUUCAAAGACUUGUCAUUAGAAUUCCAGCUGUAAAAAGCUCUCAUCAUCACCCCCAUCACCGCAGCUGAUAAUGAAGAGAAAUGUGUCGGGUAAUGAGGAGACCGGCCACCAUUACAGUAACGAAGAAGAAUGGACUGCAAUGCGCAGGAACCGCACCUCCACUGCAUCCUGCUGUAAUUGGCACGAGCCGGCUACCAUGUCUGGAGGCCACCUACGCAGCUCUACGGAGAUGCUCAUGUGGCAAAGGACUAAGACUUCUGGACGACACUGGUGAGGAAUUGGUGACUCUAGUAAGUGAGCCUUCUUGAAAAAAGAUCCUCCAGGCUCAUCCAAGUUUUCAGAUGAUGCAGCCCUGGCUGAUAUCUUGACUGUAAUUUCAUGAGAGACCCUGAGCCAGAACCACCCAGCUAAGCCAGUCUGGGAUUUCUGACUCUCAGAAACUGUGGGAUAAUAAAUGUUUGUUGUU